GGAAUUUUGCGCAAUGGGCGAAAGCCUGACGCAGCAACGCCGCGUGAGUGAUGAAGGCCUUCGGGUCGUAAAGCUCUGUCAGAGGGGAAGAACCACCUGUCGGUUAAUAUCCGGCAGGCCUGAAGGUACCCUCAAAGGAAGCACCCGCUCACUCCGUGCCAGCAGCCGCGGUACUACGGAGGGUGCAAGCGUUGUUCGGAAUUAUUGGGCGUAAAGCGCGUGUAGGCGGUCUGUUAAGUCUGAUGUGAAAGCCCCGGGCUCAACCCGGGAAGUGCAUUGGAAACUGGCCGACUUGAGUACGGGAGAGGGUAGUGGAAUUCCGAGUGUAGGGGUGAAAUCCGUAGAUAUUCGGAGGAACACCGGUGGCGAAGGCGGCUACCUGGACCGAUACUGACGCUGAGACGCGAAAGCAUGGGGAGCGAAC
rnacentral:rRNA from 1 species